AUGUCCCCUCCGAGCCUCCGUUUCCCCUUUCCGGCGAGCGCGGGGAGGAACCGCGUCUGGAUCAGCGUGGGCGCGCCUGCGCUUGUAGAUUUCUCCCUCGCGCAAGUGCGCUGCACCCAGCGAUGCAUUUUCUCUACGCGGUUUUCCUUCAGAGCCGCGUCUAGUCUUUGGGCUCGAAUGCUACCAAACGGUAUUGUCUCGACGAGAAAGCUGGCUCAUGGAAGGAAUUCAUUUCUAGACGCUCUGGCAUCAGAAUCAGCCGGGCAAGAUCAGACCCGAAUACCUGCGCUGUCUCUCUACCUACGCGCGGACCAGACACGAUGCCUCUUGGAGGGAGGGCCAGGCUGUCUGCAGAGCGAGCUCCUUGGAGGGCGAGGUGGGCCUGAGUCUCUUCUGCUGAAGGUAGGGAAAUGACUGAGGCGGGGGGAUUAGAGGAGAGGCCAGUCUUUCCUUUAGGGACCCCUUCGUGCUCGGGGAGCCGCAGGGAGCGGCCUCCGCCUGCCCUGGGAAUGUUCUCUGCUCCCGAACAUUGCUACAUUUUCUGACUCUUGGCAGCGAUCGCUUUAAAUUAGGUGCCCUGUGACUUUCUGGACUUUGUGGAGCCCCAGUAAACCCUCCUUGGAAAGCAGGCCGAGCAGGCCACGAGGGUUUUUCCUAUUUAGGCUAAUGUCUGUGUCACCCUCAAGCUUGGAGGAAUUUUCCAAGCCGCUAAUUUGUACUUUGCCAGGAGACAAGAGUGAUGAGUGGUAUUAUUUUAGGCUUUCUAAAUUGGAGCACCGCUUCUGGGUACUAGAUGUUCUCAAUUUCGUAUUUCCUUCAACUCCGAGAUCUGGCAGGUUUUGUUGUGUUCUUUCAAAGGGCAGUCGGGUUUUUCGGAGAAGUAUUUCUGGCUCCUUUCCUCGGUGUGCUAAAUGAUCACUUUUGGUUCUGCAAUUGAAUUCAACAAAUAUUUAUCGUGUGCUUAUUAGAUGCCAGGCUCAGAGCUAAGUGCUAUAGAGGGUGUAAAGAUUGAUGACCCCUGUGUUUAUUCAUGCAUUUGUCGGGUCAUUCAUACAACAUUUUUGAGUAUCUGCUAUUGACCAGUUACUGGCAGGUGCAGAACUGGAGCUUUAUGUCAAUUAAGACUGGUUAUUGGUUCCAGUAACAACAAACCUAACAAAAGUGCCUUGAAUAAACAAGGGCUUUUUUUUUUUUCCUUAUAUAUC
rnacentral:lncRNA from 1 species